CAGGACGAACGCUGGCGGCGCGCCUAACACAUGCAAGUCGAACGGAGCUUAGAGAGCUUGCUUUUUAAGCUUAGUGGCGAACGGGUGAGUAACGCGUGAGUAACCUGCCCUAGAGUGGGGGACAACAGUUGGAAACGACUGCUAAUACCACAUAAGCCCACGGUACCGCAUGGUACUGAGGGAAAAGGAUUUAUUCGCUUUAGGAUGGACUCGCGUCCAAUUAGCUAGUUGGUGAGGUAACGGCCCACCAAGGCGACGAUUGGUAGCCGGACUGAGAGGUUGAACGGCCACAUUGGGACUGAGACACGGCCCAGACUCCUACGGGAGGCAGCAGUGGGGGAUAUUGCACAAUGGGGGAAACCCUGAUGCAGCGACGCCGCGUGGAGGAAGAAGGUUUUCGGAUUGUAAACUUCUUUUAUUAAGGACGAAGAAAGUGACGGUACUUAAUGAAUAAGCUCCGGCUAACUACGUG
rnacentral:rRNA from 1 species